rnacentral:rRNA from 1 species
GACAGAGGGUGCAACCGUUGUUCGGAAUUACUGGGCAUAAAGCGCACGUAGGUGGUCCGCUAAGUCGCGUGUGAAAUCCCUCGGCUCAACCGAGGAAUUGCCUUUGAUACUGGCUGUCUUGAGUUCGGGAGAGGUGAGUGGAAUGCCGAGUGUAGAGGUGAAAUUCGUAGAUAUUCGGCGGAACACCAGUGGCGAAGGCGACUCACUGGCCUGAUACUGACGCUGAGGCGCGAAAGCGUGGGGAGCAAACAGG